rnacentral:rRNA from 1 species
UUAGAGUUUGAUCCUGGCUCAGGACGAACGCUGGCGGCAUGCCUAAUACAUGCAAGUCGAACGCUGAAGCACUCUGCUUGCAGAGUGCGGAUGAGUGGCGAACGGGUGAGUAACACGUGGGGAAUCUGCCUAGGAGUGGGGGAUAACAUUCGGAAACGGAUGCUAAUACCGCAUAUCUUCAUAGACCGCAUGGUCUAUGAAUGAAAGACGGCUUUGCUGUCGCUCUUAGAUGAUCCCGCGGCGUAUUAGUUAGUUGGUGGGGUAAAGGCCUACCAAGACAAUGAUACGUAGCCGACCUGAGAGGGUGAUCGGCCACACUGGGACUGAGACACGGCCCACACUCCUACGGGAGGCAGCAGUAGGGAAUCUUCCACAAUGGGUGCAAACCUGAUGGAGCAAUGCCGCGUGAAUGAAGAAGGUCUUCGGAUCGUAAAGUUCUGUUAUUAGUGAAGAACAAAUCGAGGAGUAACUGUCUCGAUUUUGACGGUAACUAACCAGAAGGUCACGGCUAACUACGUGCCAGCAGCCGCGGUAAUACGUAGGUGACAAGCGUUGUCCGGAAUUAUUGGGCGUAAAGGGAGCGCAGGCGGUUGGAAUAGUCUGAUGUGAAAGCCCACGGCUUAACCGUGGAAGGUCAUUGGACACUGUCCAACUUGAAUACAGAAGAGGUAAGUGGAAUUCCAAGUGUAGCGGUGAAAUGCGUAGAUAUUUGGAGGACCCCCGUGGCGAAGGCGACUUACUGGUCUGUAAUUGACCCUUGAGGCUCGAAAGCGUGGGUAACGAAACAGGAUUAAAUACCC